GACGAACGCUGGCGGCGUGCCUAAUACAUGCAAGUUGAGCGCUGAAGGUUGGUACUUGUACCAACUGGAUGAGCAGCGAACGGGUGAGUAACGCGUGGGGAAUCUGCCUUUGAGCGGGGGACAACAUUUGGAAACGAAUGCUAAUACCGCAUAAAAACUUUAAACACAAGUUUUAAGUUUGAAAGAUGCAAUUGCAUCACUCAAAGAUGAUCCCGCGUUGUAUUAGCUAGUUGGUGAGGUAAGGGCUCACCAAGGCGAUGAUACAUAGCCGACCUGAGAGGGUGAUCGGCCAAAUUGGGACUGAGACACGGCCCAAACUCCUACGGGAGGCAGCAGUAGGGAAUCUUCGGCAAUGGACGAAAGUCUGACCGAGCAACGCCGCGUGAGUGAAGAAGGUUUUCGGAUCGUAAAACUCUGUUGGUAGAGAAGAACGUUGGUGAGAGUGGAAAGCUCAUCAAGUGACGGUAACUACCCAGAAAGGGACGGCUAACUACGUG
rnacentral:rRNA from 1 species